UUAUUUUAUUUUAUAUUUAUACAUACUUUUACUAGUGUUUAAAUGAAAGGUAGACUAAAAGUCCAACCUUGUAAUAAUAAUGCACAGAGUGAAGGUAAUGAGGGUUGAAGAUCUGUAAAGAUACUUCUAAUAUUCAUUAAUGAUCCUUCCGCAGGUUCACCUACGGAAA
rnacentral:misc_RNA from 1 species